rnacentral:misc_RNA from 1 species
AAGUCGUAACAAGGUCUCCGUAGGUGAACCUGCGGAGGGAUCAUUACCGAGUGAGGGAGCAAUCCCGACCUCCAACCCUUUGUGAACCCAUCCUGUUGCUUCGGGGGCGACCCUGUCGUGCGAACGACAUUCCCCCCGGAGGUCAUCAAACACUGCAUCCUUACGUCGGAGUAAAAAGUUAAUUGAAUAAAACUUUCAACAACGGAUCUCUUGGUUCUG